rnacentral:lncRNA from 1 species
UCUCCAAGGAGGGCUGGAUGUGCCUCUUUCUAGAGUUCAUUAAUACUAGUUUUCACUAUCUAAAUUUCAUGCACAUAGAGAGGGGUGUGAGUGGACGUAAAAUGUGUGCGUAGCCUAAUCCUGGAGUACUGAAGGAUUUUUAAAACAAGGAAUCAAGGCAAACAAACCUUCAAGCACCAUAAACUUUCAAACCCGUGACCAUUCCUGUGCUUGUUCUGGAAGUACUCUGCUGCUUCACUUGAAGCUGCAUGUUGUUCUAUUUGACCUGACACCUGCCAGGAAGAUGAAAGAAAAUGGUGCUAUACUGUUUUCAAGAUAGCUCCUCUCAGAUAUGACUUUUUUUUUUUUUUUUUAAUCUUAGAUUCCUGCUCUUCUCCCAGUUUUUCCGGAUGGGUGUGGAAGAGGCACGCAAUAGGGAAGUGGCUUGGCAAAGAUGAAGCUAGACCUACGUUCAGGGUUGUUGUGGGCACCCAUGCAAAUCUGCCUGAAGGCCAGGAGGGGGACUGCAAGGACAAAAGAAGACAUAAGCUGAAAAAGGAAAAGAGGAAUCGAGGAGAAAUUCCCUUGAUGAUAGUGGAAAGUCAUGGAUGCUACUGCAGGAGGUGUGACUCGGACAUCGUUCCAUGGCAAAAAAAAUAUGUAAAAUCAUAUUAAUCAUGUUUGUUAUAUGUAAAACACACUAGCAUUCAGUAGCGGGAGCGCUCUUUAUCAUGCUGAAGGUGUCUCUUAAGACUGUUUGCUGCAGCCACAUGGAAAAGAUCUAUCAGACAAAAAUACACCCAAAGCAUGUUUCCAGGAUGACAUGACUGCAUUGGAGAAGAAGGGGGAGCUCUAAGAAUGUCUGCUUCAGAGUGUAGUAUUCAUAACUAACAAAAAGUCCAGACCCAACGAUCUGAUCCCUCAAAAGGUUGUCAGUACAAUAGGUCAAUACAUGCCCUUUGGUUUAUAACAGGGAAUUCAUACAGAUUCAUUGCAAAGGUCUAAUGUAUUAUUUGUAACUUUUUUUUUCAUAUACAAUGCUUCCUCUGUGCCCAGCUCAAAAAAAAUCCGUGAGAGCAAGAGAGACAUGGGUGAUAUGUAGUCACAUAAUAAACGGACCUUGAACACUGCUGCUUGAGGGCA